CCAAUAGCGUAUAUUAAAGUUGUUGCAGUUAAAAAGCUCGUAGUUGAACUUCGGGGUUUACCCAUUGGUCAGGCUUAAUUGUCUGUACUGGUGAGAUGAAUCUCUACCUUCUGAGGAACUUUCAUGCCAUUUAUUUGGUGUGAUUGGAAAUCAGGACUGUUACUUUGAAAAAAUUAGAGUGUUUAAAGCAGGCUAACGUCUGAAUACAUUAGCAUGGAAUAAUGAAAUAGGACGGACUGAUUCUAUUUCGUUGGUUUCUAGGAUCGAUGUAAUGAUUAAUAGGGAUAGUUGGGGGCAUUAGUAUUCAAUUGUCAGAGGUGAAAUUCUUGGAUUUAUUGAAGACUAACUACUGCGAAAGCAUUUGCCAAGGAUGUUUUCAUUAAUCAAGAACGAAAGUUAGGGGAUCGAAGACGAUCAGAUACCGUCGUAGUCUUAACCAUAAACUAUGCCGACUAGGGAUCGGAUGAUGUUAAUUUUAUAAUGACUCAUUCGGCGCCUUACG
rnacentral:rRNA from 1 species